CUUCACCUCGAUUCGUGGUUCUCAUCCCAUCUUGAAGGCCUCACUUUCAUGUGUCUAAAGAAUUGGAGCUUGACUACCCUCAAUCUGAUCUCAGCCAUGGAUGUGCUAGCAGGAGGCGUUCUAUUUUACACAGCUACUCGUAUACCCAUUAUCAAAGAUUGGUGCUUCUUCAAUGGGGAUUUUAAGCCCUGCCCGCACUGUGUAAGGAGGAUUGCAGAUAGG